rnacentral:rRNA from 2 species
UCGAACGGCAGCGCGGGAGCAAUCCUGGCGGCGAGUGGCGAACGGGUGAGUAAUACAUCGGAACGUGUCCUGUAGUGGGGGAUAGCCCGGCGAAAGCCGGAUUAAUACCGCAUACGCUCUACGGAGGAAAGGGGGGGAUCUUAGGACCUCUCGCUACAGGGGCGGCCGAUGGCGGAUUAGCUAGUUGGGGGGGUAAAGGCCUACCAAGGCGACGAUCCGUAGCUGGUCUGAGAGGACGACCAGCCACACUGGGACUGAGACACGGCCCAGACUCCUACGGGAGGCAGCAGUGGGGAAUUUUGGACAAUGGGGGCAACCCUGAUCCAGCAAUGCCGCGUGUGUGAAGAAGGCCUUCGGGUUGUAAAGCACUUUUGUCCGGAAAGAAAUCAUCCUGGUUAAUACCUGGGGUGGAUGACGGUACCGGAAGAAUAAGCACCGGCUAACUACGUG